GGCUGCAACACACAUUCCCUCAGCCUCCAAAUACAACAAGUUUUUCCCAUAUCCAAUGAGCUCCUAGAUCAAUUGUCAGGCCAGGCCUCCAAGGUUUGAGGGUGGACAUCAGGACAAGAGUGUUAGUACUACUCCUAUGGAGGGAUCUGGCAUUGGGGGUGGUGGGGUGGUGGUGGCGUGUGUUUGUUAAACAAAAGGUAACAAGCCUGAAGCCAAAUGAUUGGUAUUUCACAUUAUACUUCGGGGAGUAAAAUAAGGAAGAAGAGGAGGAGGAGGAUGGAGAAGGAAGAAGAUGAGGCUGGAAGAAAGAAAGGCUUCAGCAGACAUUCAUGUUGUGUUUCAUUAGAAUUAACUUACAACUGGAUAAAAGCAAGAGGAGAAGAAAAGCUGGGAGUAAGAUAGUUCAUAAAAUGAGAGAUAUCAACAAUACCAUUCCCUUGAAGACACUAAGAAAGAACUGUGAAGAUACCAAAGAAUAAAUUUUGCCUUCCACACAACUUUCCUGGCUCUUGAGGUAUUGUAUUAUAUUUACUGAUCUUUAUGUAAUGUUUGCACUUGUAAGUUACUUUGUAUCUCAAACACCUAAAACUACAAAGGGCCUAAAGAUAACUGAAAAGAGCAGGGCAUAGUAGAAACUAUAUAAUCUUUGGUUUCACAUCUGAAAUACAGACCUGCCUCUACUACCAUGCAUUUCCCUCUUUUUUAAAAUUUAAGGUUGGGUUCUUACACACAGCAUAUAGUUGGGUUUUACUUUUUAUCCCAUCUGACAAUCCUUGCCUUUUAACUGAAUUAUACCAAAGCUGUCAGAAAGAAAUGUUAGCUACAUAUGUAUUUUUAAAUGUUCUAAUAUCCACAUUAAAAAAGUAAAAAGAGGGGAAAUUCAUUUAAGUGUUUUGUUUAUUUAACCCAAUACAUACAAACUAUUUCAAUACAUACAAAAUAUUAAUUCAAUAAUAAGUACUUAUUUCAGUAAGUAAUAAAUACAAUUUAUUAACUACAUAUUUAAUAUUCUUUGCACUAAGUCCUCAAAGUCCAGCAAUUCAUUCCAGCUACACAGCAAAUGCUCAAUAACCACACGUAGAUAGUAGUACCAUAUUGGAUAAUACAGUCUUAAGCAAUUUAUAUUUAAUUAUCAUUAUGUUAGAUUUAUCAUUUUGUUAGUUGUUUUAAUUUAAUCUUCUUUUUGUUCCUCUUCUUCCCUUUUGCUGACUUACUUUUUCUUAGUUGAGUGUUUGCUGUUUUUGUUGUUUGUGAAUCCAUUUAUCUCCACCAUUGGCUUAUUAGUUAUACCUCUUUGUUUUAUUUUAAAAUUAUUGUUCAAGGGUUAAUAAUAUACAGCUUUCAUUUAACCACUGUCUACUUUCAAAUAACAUUAUAAAUUUUUUCCUGUACAGUUUAAGAUGACUUUUCCCCUGCCUUGGUGCUAUUGUUUUUGUACAUUUUUAUCUAUCUAUCUAUCUAUCUAUCUAUCUAUCUAUCUAUCUAUCUAUCUAUCUAUCAUCUAUCUAUCUAUAUAUUAUAGGCUUAUUAUAAUACAUUGCUAUUAGUUUUCUUUUAAAUGGUACAUUACCUUUGAAAAAAUAUUAACAAAUGAGAAAGAUAUUUACUCAUGAUAAGUAUCAGCUCUAAUCAUCCUUACUCUUCUGUGUAGUCCAAAUUUCCAUAUAGUUAUUCUCUUUUGUCUUAAAAAUUGUUUUUAAAAACAUUUCUUGUAGUUCAUUCUUCUGAUCAUAAAUUCUCUCACUUUUGCUUGUCAAAAAAGUCCUUGUUUCCUCCUUUUUGCUAGCUGUAGAGUUAUAGCUUGACUUUUUUUCUUUAUAUUUCAACAUUUUGAACAUGUUGUUCCAUUGUCUUCUGGUUUGCCUACCCUCUGAAGAAAAGUCUUCUGUCAUUCUUUUUUUCUUUUUUUUAUUCUUACCUUUGUGUAUGUAAUGUUUUCUUUGGCUGCCUUUAAGGUUUUCUUUUUAUCAUGGAUUUUUAGCGACUAGAUUAUAAUGAGCCCUGCUGUGCUUUUCUUUGUGUUUCUUUUGCUUGGGAUCCACUGAGUUUAUUGUAUUUAUAGGUGUAGAAUAUUCAUCAAUUUUGGAAAAUGUUCAGAUAUUAUUUCUUUAAUUUUCUAUUUCCCCCAAAGAGCUUACCUUUAUUUCUGUUAGUAACUACUCAUGCUAAAGUAGCUGAAUGGACCCCUAAAAGUAUCCAGGAGACUGAUUUAAACUGCUACUUAACACUGUGUAAAAGAAGUAAUUUAGGAAAAAAGAAAUAUGGUCUUUUAGUUUCUUUUUUUUAUAUUGAUGAAUUUGGGCUGUGCCUUUAACUUAUAUAGAGAAUAGGAACAUGAUUUUUUGGACUUUAUUCCUCCAUAGAAAUAAAAUAAUAAAAUGGAAUCAAUAUUAUGCAAUUUUCAGACUUUUUAUAUUAUUGACCUUGUAUUAUCAUGGUAUCUUUAUUGUAUCAUUUGAGCUUAUUAUGUGACUGGGAAAAAUUUGAGUUGAAAAGUAAAAGUGAAUGCAUUUCAGUCUAGGUUAUGGAAUAAACUUGGAGUUAAUCCAAUUGAGGACAAAAGUUGAACUGCCUGCCAGUGUUAAGGAAGAUAUAGAAAACUGCAGUGGUUGGUAUUGGGGGAACCAUACUAACAAAGGUGUUAGCAUAACUGUACUAAUAAAUGACUGAUCUUGCUCUUGCAAGGAUAGCCAGAAUCCCUAUUAACUUUAUUUUUUUUCAAAUUUUUAUUUAAAUUCUAGUUAGGUAACAUUAGUGUAAUAUUGGUUUCAAGAGUAUAAUUUAGUGAUUCACCAUUUACAUAUAACAUCUAGUGCUUAAGCUCAAUGACUCCAUAAAGCAUAAUAACAUUUGUAUCAUAGGAGUCCCCGAAGAAAAAGAGGCGGGGGGGGAAGGGCAGAAGGUUUAUCUGAGGAAAAUGUAGCUGAAAACUUCCCUAAUCUGGGGAAAGAGACAGACAUCCAAAUUCCAGGAGGUAGAGAACUCCCAUCAAAAUCAACAAAAGCUAGUCAAUACCAAGACAUACUGUAGUAAAAUUUGCAAAAUACAGAUAAGGAAAGAAUCCUGAAAGCAGUGAAGGAAAAGAAAUUCCUAACAUACAAGGGAAGACAAAUCUGGUUAGCAGAUCUUUCCACAGAAACCUAACAGGACAGAAGAGAGUGGCAUGAGAUAUUGAAUGUGCUGAAUGGGAAAAAAUACACAGCCAAGAAUACUUUAUCUAGCAAGGGUGUCAUUUAGAAUAGAAGGAGAGAUAAAGAGUUUCCAAGACAAAUAAAAACAAAAGGAGUUCAUGACCACUAAACAAGCCCUACAAGAAAUAUUAAAGGGGACUCUUUGAGUGGGAAAGAAAGACCAAAAGCAACAAAUACUAGAAGGGAACAGAGAAAAUCUCCAGAAACAACUUUAUGGGUAAUACAAUGGCACUAAAUUCAUAUUUACCCUAUUAACUUUACUUGAUUGGUAAACAAAAAGGUUUAUUUUUAUUUAUUUUUUAAGUUUAUUUUUUUAGUAAUCUCUACACCCAAUAUGGGGCUUGAACUCAUGACCCCAAGAUCAAGAGUCACAUGUUCUUCUGACUGAGCUAAGUAGGCACCUCAAACAAACAGGUUUAAAAGACAAAAAUGCUGGAUCCCUAUGUUCAAAGAAAAGUUAAUAGCUAUUCUUCUCAAACUCUUCCAAAAAAAACAGAAGAGAAAGGAGAACUUGCAAAUUCAUUUUAUGUGUCCAGCAUUAUGCUGAUAUAAAACCAGGCAAAGACUCUACAAAAAAAAGACAGAAAAAAAGAAAAUUAUAAGCCUAAGGAACUAUAUCCCUGAGGAACAUAAAUGUAAAACUCCUCCAUAAAAUAUUAGCAAACCUAAUUCAACAAUGAAAAUAAAAGGAUCAAUCACUACAGUCAAGGGUUUUUUUCCCCAAGGAUGCAAGGGUGGUCCAAUAUCCAUAAAUCAAUGAAUGUCGCAUAUCACAUUUACAAAAUGAAGCUUAAAAGCCAUAUCAUCUCAAUAAAUGCAGAAAAAACAUCUGACAAGUUCAAUGUUGAUAAAAACUCUCAACAAAAUGGGUUUAGGAAGAGCAAAGCUCAACAUAAUAAAGGCUUUGUACAGCAAACCCACAACUAAGAUGAUCCUCACUGGUGAAAAACUGAAAGCUUUUCCUCUAAUAUCAGGAACAAGACAAGAAACAUAAUACUAGAAGUCAUAGCUUCAUCAGUCAGACAAGAAAAACAAAUAACAGGCAUCCAAAUUUGAAAGAAACAGUAAAACUCUCUAUUUGCAAAUGACAUGAUACUAUAUAUAGAAAACCCACCAAAAAAACUGAUAGAACUAAUAAAUGAAUUCAAUAAAGUUUCAGGAUAAAAAUUAAUACACAGGAAUGUGUUGUAUUUCUCUACAGUAAUAAUUAAGUAGCAAAAAAUAUAAAUUAAGAAAAUGAUGCUAUUUGCAAUUGCAUCAAAAAGAAUAAAAUACCUAGGAAUAUAUUUAAUCAAGCAGGUGAGAGACCUAUACUCUGAAAACUGUAAGACAUUGAUAAAAGAAAUUGAAGAUGACACAAACAAAUGGAAAAAAUACUUCAUGCUCAUGGACUGGAAGAACUAAUGCUGUUAAAAUGUUCAUACUAACUAAAGCAAUCUACAGAUUCAAUGUAAUCCCUACAAAAAUUAUUAAUAGUAUUUUCACAGAACUAGAACAUAUAGUGCUAAAAUUUGUACAGAACCACAAAAAAACCCCGAAUAGCCAAAGCAACCUUAAGAAAGGAGGGAAAAAACUGCAAGUAUCACAAUCCCACAUUUCAGAUAUACUACAAAGCCAUAGUAAUCAGAAGUGGCCUGAUAUAUUCAAAGUGCUGAAUUGGAAAAACCUGCAGCCAAGAAUACUCUAUCCAGCAAGGCUGUUAUUCAGAAUAGAAGGAGAGAUAAGAGUUUCCUUGACAAACAAAAACUAAAGGAGUUCAUGACCACUAAACCACCCCUGCAAGAAAUAUUAAAGUGGACUCUGAAAGGAAAGGCAAGGCCAAAAAUGACAGUAUGAAGGAAGGAAACACAAAAGCAGUAAAAAUGAAUAUUUUGGAAAAAAACAGUCAAGGAACUCACAAAAUAAAAGAAUGUAAAAUAUGACACCAUAUACCUAAAAUGUGGGGAGGAGAGGAGUAAAAAAUGGUUUCCAAGUUAAAUGAACACCAACUUAAUAUAGACUGCUAUAUGCAGAAGAUGUUACAUACAAACUUAAUGGUACUACAAAUCAAAAACCACUGAUAGAUAUGCAAAGAAUAAAGAGAAAUAUAUCCAAAUAUAUCACUAAAGGAAAUGAGCAAACCAUGAAAGACAGCAAGACAAGACAGGAUCAGAGAAAAUAUUCAAAAACAACCACAAAACUAGUAAUAAAAUGGCAAUAAAUACACAUCUAUCAAUAACUACUUUCAAUGUAAAUGGACUAAACAAACCAAUCAAAAGACACAGGGUGACAGAAUGGAUAAAAAAAACAAGACUCAUCUAUAUGCUGCUUACAAGAUACUCAUUUUAGACCUAAAGACAAUCUGCAGAUUGAAAGGGAGGGAAUGGAGAAACAUUCAUCACACAAACGGAUGUCAAAAGAAAGUCAGAGUAGCAAUACUUAGACAAAAUAGACUUUAAAACAAAGACUAUAACAAGGGAUAAUGAAGGACACUAUAUAAUAAUAAAGGGGACAAUCCAACAAGAAGAAAUAACAAUUGUAAAUAUUUAUGGACCCAACAUGGGAGCACCCAAACACAUAAACCAGUUAAUAACAAACAUAAAGGAACUAAUCAAUAAUAAUACAAGAAUAGUAGGGGAUUUUAAUACCCCACUUACAUCAUCUAAACAGAGUAUCAAUAAGGAAACAAUGGCUUUGAAUGACACACAGGACCAGAUGGAUUUAACAGAUACAUUCAGAACAUUCCAUCCUAAAACAGCAGACUACACAUUCUUUUCAAGUGCAUAUGGAACAUUCUCCAGAAGAGAUCAUAUAUUAGCCCACAAAACAAUCCUUGACAAAUUCAAGAUCAAAGUGCUGCCAUGCAUCUUUUCUGACAACAAUGUUAUGAAACUAGAAGUCAUCCACAAGGAAAAAUCUGGAAAGACCGUAAGUAUAUGGAAGUUAAAUAACAUGCUGCUGAAUGAUGAGUGAGUCAACCAGGAAAUAAAAUAAGAAAUAAAAAAGUACAUGGAAACAAAUAAAAAUGAAAACACAACAGUCCAAAACCUUUGGGAUGCAGCAAGAGUGGUCUAAGAGAGAAGUUUAUAGCAAUAUAGGCCAACCUCAAGAAGCAAGAAAAAUCUCAAAUAAACAACUUAAACUUAUCCUAAAGAAACUAGAAAAAGAAUAAACAAAACUUAAAAUCAGCAGAAGGAAGGAAAUAAUAAAGACUAGAGCAGAAACAAAUGAUAUAGAAACCAGAAGAAGAAUAGAACAGAUCAAUGAAACCAGAAACUACUUCUUUGAAAAAAGGCAAUAAAGUUGAUAAACCUCUAGCCAGACUUAACAAGAACAAAAGAGAAUGGACCCAAAUGAAUAAAAUCACAAAUGAGAGAGGAGAAAUAAAAAAUACCACAUAAAUACAAACAUUUUUGAGAGAUUAUAAAAAACUAUAUGCCUAACAAAUUGGACAACUUAGAAGAAAUGGAUAAAUUCCUAGAAACAUAUAACCUACUAAAAUUGAAACAGGAAGAAAUAGAAAAUUUGAACAGACCAAAAACCAGCAAAGAAAUUGAAUCAGUAAUCAAAAAACUCCCAAUUAACAAAAGUCUAGGACCAGAUGGCUUCACAGGCAAAUUCUACCAAACAUUUAAAAGUUAAUAUCUCUUUGUGAACUCAAACUAUUCCAAAAAUAGAAAAGGAAGGAAAACUUCCAAUUUCAUUCUAUGAUACCAGCAUUAU